rnacentral:lncRNA from 1 species
AUGCGUGACCUGACCUCACUGCUUGUGUCGCCCUCAGACCCCGUGAGCUCAGAGCGCUUCUUCACCGCGGCCGCAGACGGGAAAGCGUACCUGACCAUGGCUCCAGCCGCAGCGAUGCCCCCCGCGCCCUCAGACCAGGCGUUCCCGCCCGCCUCGGACUUCUCCUCCAAAGCGGUGCUGUGUCUGAUCGAGGCCGUCGGCCGCCGCUGGGGCCUCUACGAGACCCGCGAGCGCUCGCAGCUCUUCCAGAGCGUCCAGGAGGAGAUGGCCUCCAAGGGCCACGUGCUCCCAGUGGAGAAGAUCCGCCGCAAGUGGAACAACCUCAUCGUCACGUACAAGAGGGUCAAGGACCGCAGCAGGGAAACGGGACACGCCAAGACCUCCUGGGAGUUCUUCGAUCUGAUGGACGCCACGCUCUGCGACACCGUUGGUUCUCACGUCGUCAACAACAAGCGAAUCAGAGGCGGCGGCGCGGCGCCUGCGCUCACCUCUCCUCCGGCGAAGGUCGCGGCCAAAGCCCAGGCUCACAGAACCAACGCUGGGCUGAGCGGCGCUGGGGUGGGGGUGGGGGUGGGGGGUCACGGCGCCGCCAGUCACACCACAGCAACCAGCAGCUCGGAGCUCAGGCCGCUGGUGGUGAACGGGGACGCCGGCGCCACCCUUCAUCCGCCCUCUCCGUCGCUCAUGGCCCCUCCGUGUUUGACAGAACCCCCCUCCUCUCCAGCUCCCUUUGACUCGGCCAGCACCAGCACCGCGGACCCCCACGCGUCGCGGUACGCGGGCCACGACGCCGCCCCCUUUCUCCUCAACGUGGCCUCGCACGGCAGCAGGAAGGGCCUGCUGGGCCCGGCCCAGUCCUUCCCUGCCGCCUUCUCCUGCCUCGCCUCCCCCGGCGCCGGCGCCGCCUCGUCCCCGGCCCCGAACCCGAAGGCCGGGGAGCCGAGCGGCCCGCUGCAGGAGCUCCUGCUCCGGCAGGAGGAGCAGGCCCUCCUGGAGAGCACGGCGCGCCACAGGGCCGAGGCCAGAGAGAAGCGGCGCGAGCGCCGGGAGCUGAGGAUGGCCGAGUCGCUGGGCCGGAUCGCCACGGCGCUGGAGCUGCUGUCGUCCAAGCAGGACACGGUCAUCGCGCUGCUGCAGAGGCUGGCGGACCGCACCAAGUGA